CCUACGGCGGCUGCAGUGGGGAAUAUUGGACAAUGGGCGAAAGCCUGAUCCAGCCAUGCCGCGUGUGUGAAGAAGGCCUUCGGGUUGUAAAGCACUUUCAGUGGGGAAGAAAGCCUUGGGGCUAAUACCCUCGAGGAAGGACAUCACCCACAGAAGAAGCACCGGCUAACUCCGUGCCAGCAGCCGCGGUAAUACGGAGGGUGCGAGCGUUAAUCGGAAUUACUGGGCGUAAAGCGCGCGUAGGCGGUCUGAUAAGCCGGUUGUGAAAGCCCCGGGCUCAACCUGGGAACGGCAUCCGGAACUGUCAGGCUAGAGUGCAGGAGAGGAAGGUAGAAUUCCCGGUGUAGCGGUGAAAUGCGUAGAGAUCGGGAGGAAUACCAGUGGCGAAGGCGGCCUUCUGGACUGACACUGACGCUGAGGUGCGAAAGCGUGGGUAGCAAACAGGAUUAGAUACCCCAGUAGUC
rnacentral:rRNA from 1 species